AUGUAAAUAAAAUGACUUGGUUUUAUUUGUUUCAUUUACCUCUUUCUUUUUGUGUUUUGGUUUAAAUCGCUAUUACCUAAAAUAGAUACUACAUACACAUAUAUAUAUAUAAUUACAUACCUGUAUCCGAUAUAAGAAAUAGAAGAAGAGUACCCCCUUAUUAUGUCAUUCGAUUUGACUCGAUAUAAUAUGAUAUGAUAUGAUUUGUUAAUUAGUAUAUAUAUAUAUAUAUAUAUAUAUAUUUCUAUAUAUUUGUAUAUAUUUGUAUAUGUAUAUAUACAUACGCGUGCGCAUAGAUGUAACUCAAGAGUUGUGUAAACACAUAAAUAACACUGAAGAAGUUUUAAUAUAAAAAAAAAUAUAGAUAUUCACUUUUGUUUAGGAAGGAUGUAACUGACAUAUGUUUGAGGUAAUUAUAUUUACAUUGGUGUUAUAAAAAGUAUAGUUUACAUGUUAUAGAUUUUAUAAAGAUGAAACUAUAUCAAUUUAUAUUUUUUUAGCACCUACAUAAUUAGUUAUUAAUAUUUAUUUAUUUUAUUUUUAUUAUAUUUUAAAUUUUUUUAAAAUGAUUAAAAAAUGUUUAUUUAUUUUAGUAAUAUCUUUAAUUAGUAUAGCUUUAGUACUAUAUGAAAAAAUAAAACAUGAAAAUUCAAACAUAUAUGAUAGUGAUAAUAAGAAUUAUGGUAAUGUUACAAAUAAUCACUUUAAUAAUGAAUUAAUUAAUAGUUUAAAUUAUAGAAUAAAUAAAAGCCUAUACAAUGUUUUAAAUAAUAAUAUAUCUUUACGUUUGUUACCAUACAACAAACCAAGUAGUAGCAAUUUUAAUUUAUACGACAAAUUAAAUAAUAGCGAAAAUAAAUUAAAUAAAUGUAAUGCAUCACAAAAUGAAACAUGUCCUUUUAAUGAAUAUAAUGUAACAGACAAAUCUCGGUAUUAUAAUAUUAUAAAAUAUAGUAAUAUACAUAUAAAUAAUGUUAAACAAAAAAUUAAAGACGCUUAUAAGUUUUUUUUUUCAAAUAUUAAGACUCAAAACAAAACAGAACAGAUUAUUUCCUUAUUUAUUGAACUUAUUAAAAAUUUUAAAUUAUUUUUAAAAAUUGUAUAUUCAUCAAGUUAUAAUAUGUCCUAUGCUUAUGGGGUAGUUUUAAUUUCUUUAUUAAAAAUUUUCUUUUUAUGGUAUAUUAUUAUUGGACCAUAUUUACAAUGGACAUAUUUUAAAUUAAAAAAAUAUUAUAUAAAUUUAAAUAAAAACACACAAGAUAAUAUACUUAUUAUUAUAUUAAUUAUAAUUUUAUUUUACUGUUUAGUAUUAUUAGGUGUAAUUAAAUAUAUAUCAAAUAAACUUUCAAAAAUUUAUAAAUAUAUUUCUAAUAAAUUAUUAAAAAUUCAUUCCUUUUUGUUUAAUAUAUUACCAUAUAUUAUUAGUCUUUUAUUUUAUUCAAGUUUAGUCAAAAUUUUACCCAUACAUUUUCUGUCAUUUUUUAUACACUUUAUUUUUUUCCCAUUACCUUCACUAUAUUCCAUUGUUAUAAUAAUUAAAUAUAUUUACCUCCCAAAAACUAAUAUACAAUUUAAAAAUAAUAUUAAAAAAUUAAUAAGUUUUAAAACACAAAAUAGUAUACAUGAACAAUCUUUGUUGUUAAAUCAGGAAGACAAUGUAGAAACAAAAAUAUAUGAACAAAUACAGGACAAUUCAUCAGAUAAUAAUGAAAAAAUAAAUAAAGAUUUAGAACUUAUUGAUAAUUUUAAAAAUAAAAAUUACCUAAAUAAUGAUAAUGAUACAUUAAAAAAUUUAAGCGAAGCGAUUGUAACAAAUGAUGAAAAUAACACUGAUAUAUCUGGUGAAACAAGAAAAGAAAAAAAUGGUGUAGAAAAUGAGAACGUUGAAAAGGAUGAAAUUAAAAAAGGAGAUAGUAAAAAUAAAGAAAGU
ensembl:lncRNA